GUGGGGAAUAUUGGACAAUGGGCGAAAGCCUGAUCCAGCCAUGCCGCGUGUGUGAAGAAGGUCUUCGGAUUGUAAAGCACUUUAAGUUGGGAGGAAGGGCAGUAAGUUAAUACCUUGCUGUUUUGACGUUACCGACAGAAUAAGCACCGGCUAACUUCGUGCCAGCAGCCGCGGUAAUACGAAGGGUGCAAGCGUUAAUCGGAAUUACUGGGCGUAAAGCGCGCGUAGGUGGUUUUGUAAGUUGGAGGUGAAAGCCCCGGGCUCAACCUGGGAACUGCCCCCAAAACUGCAUGACUAGAGUACGGUAGAGGGUAGUGGAAUUUCCUGUGUAGCGGUGAAAUGCGUAGAUAUAGGAAGGAACACCAGUGGCGAAGGCGACUACCUGGACUGAUACUGACACUGAGGUGCGAAAGCGUGGGGAGCAAACAGGAUUAGAAACCCUGGUAGUCC
rnacentral:rRNA from 1 species